GAUUACGGCCAUACCACACUGACAACGCCCGAUCUCGUCUGAUCUCGGAAGCUAAGCAGAGUUGGGCUGGGUUAGUACUUGGAUAGGUGACCUCCUGGGAAUACCCGGAGCUUUAAGCA
rnacentral:rRNA from 1 species